rnacentral:misc_RNA from 1 species
GAUGAAGAACGCAGCGAAAUGCGAUACUUGGUGUGAAUUGCAGAAUCCCGUGAACCAUCGAGUCUUUGAACGCAAGUUGCGCCCGAAGCCAUCAGGUUGAGGGCACGUCUGCCUGGGCGUCACAUAUCGUUGCCCAAUGCCUAUUGCAAUGCAAUAGGAAUUUCUAGGGCGAAUGAUGGCUUCCCGUGAGCGUUGUUGCCUCGCGGUUGGUUGAAAAUCGAGUCCUUGGUAGGGUGUGCCAUGGUAGAUGGUGGUCGAGUUAGAACGAUACCGAUCAUGUGCAUGCUCCCCAAAAUAUGGCCUCUAUGACCCACACGCGUCUUUUGACGCUCAUGACGAGACCUCAGGUCAGGCGGGGCUACCCGCUGAAUUUAAGCAUAUCAAUAAGCGGAGGA